rnacentral:misc_RNA from 1 species
CAAGCCAUGGAAGCCGGGGGUACCUGAAGUGCGUGACCGCGAGGAGCGCCCUAGGGUAAAACCGGUGACUGGGGCUAAGUCGUAACAAGGUAGCCGUACCGGAAGGUGCGGCUGGAACACCUCCUUUCUGGAGCGGACGCCGCUGUGCGCCGUCCACGGAACCUGUCAUCGACAAACGGCCGCUUAUCGUUCGGCCGGACAUCAGGGAUAGCGGUUUUCGGUGCUGCUUCGUCGGAAUCUAUUGUCAGCAUAACCUUCGGCAGAGGCCGCAGGGGCGGGUUUUUGCCUGCCCGGCCGCCGGAGUUGGAUGCAGUCUCUUAGCUCAGUUGGUUAGAGCGCUACACUGAUAAUGUAGAGGUCGGCAGUUCAACUCUGCCAGGGACUACACUGAAAGAGAGCACAUUGACAUGUUGGAAGCCGGAUACGGCCUAUUUAAAGGGUCGUAUCAUAAAGGUAAAAUCACGAGCAAAUCAAAAAAGAAGAAGAACAGAACACAGAGCGUAAGCCGAGUAAAGUUCUGACGCGAAAAAGGCGACUUUGCUUAGGAAUAAGGAAAGGAGAGAAGGGCACAUGAAGGAUGCCUUGGCUCUCGGAGGCGACGAAGGACGUGACAAGCUGCGAUAAGCCGUGCGUAGGGGCAAAUACCCGUAUGAUGCGCGGAUUUCC